rnacentral:rRNA from 1 species
AGUGAACGCUGGCGGUAGGCCUAACACAUUCAAGUCGAACGGCAGCACAGUAAGAGCUUGCUCUUACGGGUGGCGAGUGGCGGACGGGUGAGGAAUACAUCGGAAUCUAAUUUUUCGUGGGGGAUAACGUAGGGAAACUUACGCUAAUACCGCAUACGACCUACGGGUGAAAGCAGGGGAUCUUCGGACCUUGCGCGAUUGAAUGAGCCGAUGUCGGAUUAGCUAGUUGGCGGGGUAAAGGCCCACCAAGGCGACGAUCCGUAGCUGGUCUGAGAGGAUGAUCAGCCACACUGGAACCUAGACACGGUCCAGACUCCUACGGGAGGCAGCAGUGGGGAAUAUUUGACAAUGGGCGCAAGCCUUAUCCAGCCAUACCGCGUGGGUGAAGAAGGCCUUCGGGUUGUAAAGCCCUUUUGUUGGGAAAGAAAAGCAGCAGGUUAAUACCCCGCUGUUCUGACGGUACCCAAAGAAUAAGCACCGGCUAACUUCGUG